UACGGAGGGGGCUAGCGUUGUUCGGAAUUACUGGGCGUAAAGCGCGCGUAGGCGGCUUUGUAAGUUAGAGGUGAAAGCCCGGAGCUCAACUCCGGAACUGCCUUUAAGACUGCAUCGCUAGAAUUGUGGAGAGGUGAGUGGAAUUCCGAGUGUAGAGGUGAAAUUCGUAGAUAUUCGGAAGAACACCAGUGGCGAAGGCGACUCACGGGACACAUAUUGACGCUGAGGUGCGAAAGCGUGGGGAGCAAACAGG
rnacentral:rRNA from 1 species